CAGUCGCCACGGUAAUACGUAGGGUGCGAGCGUUAAUCGGAAUUACUGGGCGUAAAGCGUGCGCAGGCGGUUCGUUAAGACAGAUGUGAAAUCCCCGGGCUUAACCUGGGAACUGCAUUUGUGACUGGCGAGCUAGAGUAUGGCAGAGGGGGGUAGAAUUCCACGUGUAGCAGUGAAAUGCGUAGAGAUGUGGAGGAAUACCGAUGGCGAAGGCAGCCCCCUGGGCCAAUACUGACGCUCAUGCACGAAAGCGUGGGGAGCAAACAGGAUUAGAUACCCCUGUAGUCCCUGUCUCUUAUAC
rnacentral:rRNA from 1 species